rnacentral:rRNA from 1 species
GACGGAGGAUGCAAGUGUUAUCCGGAAUCACUGGGCGUAAAGCGUCUGUAGGUGGUUUCAAAAGUCCACUGUUAAAGAUUGAAGCUUAACUUCAAAAAUGCCGUGGAAACUUUGAAACUUGAGUAUGAUAGGGGUAGAGGGAAUUUCCAGUGGAGCGGUGAAAUGCGUAGAUAUUGGAAAGACCACCAAUGGCGAAGGCACUCUACUGGGCCAUUACUGACACUCAUGGACGAAAGCUAGGGGAGCGAAAGGG